rnacentral:sRNA from 1 species
CCUAAUACAUUAACCAUGGCACAAAUCGAAUAAAUUAGCAUAAUGUGUCCAGGAAGAAGACG